CCCUCUAAGUAAUCUACCCGUUACAUGGAUAACUGUAGUAAUUCUAGAGCUAAUACAUGCCUCGAAUCCGUGACCCGCGAGGGAAUCGGUGCACUUAUUAGAACAAGACCAGCCGGGCACUCGCAAGAGUACUCGACCAUGUCGUGUUGACUCUGGAUAAUUUCUACAGAUCGCAGUCGGCCUUGUGUCGGCGACAGUUCUUUCAAAUGUCUGCCCUAUCAACUUACGAUGGUAGGUAACCUGCCUACCAUGGUGAUAACGGGUAACGGGGAAUCAGGGUUCGAUUCCGGAGAGGGAGCCUGAGAAACGGCUACCACAUCCAAGGAAGGCAGCAGGCGCGCAAAUUAGCCACUCUGGGCGCGGGGGGGUGGUGACGAUAAAAUAAGUGCACCGAUUCUCUGGCGGGUCGCGGAUUCGAGGCAUGUAUUAGUUCUAGAAUUACUACAGUUAUCUAUGUAACGGGUAUGAUCCAAUGAAUAAUAGCUGAUUUAAUGAGCCAUUCGUAAUC
rnacentral:rRNA from 1 species